rnacentral:rRNA from 1 species
CAUAUCAAUAAGCGGAGGAAAAGAAACCAACAGGGAUUGCCUUAGUAACGGCGAGUGAAGCGGCAACAGCUCAAAUUUGAAAGCUGGCCCUUUUAGGGUCCGCGUUGUAAUUUGUAGAGGAUGAUUCGGCGAGGGCUCCUGCCUAAGUCCCCUGGAACGGGGCGUCAUAGAGGGUGAGAAUCCCGUAUGCGGUAGGUUGCCUUAGCCAUGUGAAUCUCCUUCGACGAGUCGAGUUGUUUGGGAAUGCAGCUCUAAAUGGGAGGUAAAUUUCUUCUAAAGCUAAAUACUGGCCAGAGACCGAUAGCGCACAAGUAGAGUGAUCGAAAGAUGAAAAGCACUUUGGAAAGAGAGUUAAAAAGUACGUGAAAUUGUUGAAAGGGAAGCGCUUGCAACCAGACUUGUCCGCAGUUGCUCAGCCGGUCUCCUGACCGGCGUACUCUUCUGCGGCCAGGCCAGCAUCAGUUCGGGCGGUCGGAUAAAGGCCUCGGGAAUGUAGCUCCUCUCGGGGAGUGUUAUAGCCCGGGGUGGAAUGCGACCAGCCUGGACUGAGGAUCUCGCUUCGGCAAGGAUGCUGGCGUAAUGGUUGUAAGCGGCCCGUCUUGAAACACGGACCAAGGAGUCUAACAUCUAUGCGAGUGUUCGGGUGUCAAACCCGUACGCGUAAUGAAAGUGAACGGAGGUGGGAACCCGCAAGGGUGCACCAUCGGCCGAUCCUGAUGUCUUCGGAUGGAUUUGAGCAAGAGCAUAGCUGUUGGGACCCGAAAGAUGGUGAACUAUGCCUGAAUAGGGUGAAGCCAGAGGAAACUCUGGUGGAGGCUCGCAGCGGUUCUGACGUGCAAAUCGAUCGUCAAAUUUGGGUAUAGGGGCGAAAGACUAAUCGAACCAUCUAGUAGCU